UUGAUUACUCAUAAGGCGGCGGCGUUGUCCUAAAAGAAAUAACGCCGCCGGAUCGCUAGUUGGCAUCGUUUAUGGUUGGAACUAUGACGGUAUCUGAUCGUCUUUGAACCUUCGACUUUCGUUCUUGAUUAAUGAAAACAUUCUUGCCAAAUGCUUUCGCUUUCAUCCGUCUUGCGCCGGUCCAAGAAUUUCACCUCUCGCCGCACAAUAGGAAUGUCCCCGGCUGUC